CGGAGGGAUCAUUACCGAGUUUACAACUCCCAAACCCCUGUGAACAUACCUAUACGUUGCCUCGGCGGAUCAGCCCGCGCCCCGUAAAACGGGACGGCCCGCCCGAGGACCCUAAACUCUGUUUUUAGUGGAACUUCUGAGUAAAACAAACAAAUAAAUCAAAACUUUCAACAACGGAUCUCUUGGUUCUGGCAUCGAUGAAGAACGCAGCAAAAUGCGAUAAGUAAUGUGAAUUGCAGAAUUCAGUGAAUCAUCGAAUCUUUGAACGCACAUUGCGCCCGCCAGUAUUCUGGCGGGCAUGCCUGUUCGAGCGUCAUUUCAACCCUCAAGCUCAGCUUGGUGUUGGGACUCGCGGUAACCCGCGUUCCCCAAAUCGAUUGGCGGUCACGUCGAGCUUCCAUAGCGUAGUAAUCAUACACCUCGUUACUGGUAAUCGUCGCGGCCACGCCGUAAAACCCCAACUUCUGAAUGUUGACCUCGGAUCAGGUAGGAAUACCCGCUGAACUUAAGCAUA
rnacentral:rRNA from 1 species